GACGAACGCUGGCGGCGUGCUUAACACAUGCAAGUCGAACGGAAAGGCCCUGCUUUUGUGGGGUGCUCGAGUGGCGAACGGGUGAGUAACACGUGAGUAACCUGCCCUUGACUUUGGGAUAACUUCAGGAAACUGGGGCUAAUACCGGAUAGGAGCUCCUGCUGCAUGGUGGGGGUUGGAAAGUUUCGGCGGUUGGGGAUGGACUCGCGGCUUAUCAGCUUGUUGGGGGGGUAGUGGCUUACCAAGGCUUUGACGGGUAGCCGGCCUGAGAGGGUGACCGGCCACAUUGGGACUGAGAUACGGCCCAGACUCCUACGGGAGGCAGCAGUGGGGAAUAUUGCACAAUGGGCGGAAGCCUGAUGCAGCAACGCCGCGUGCGGGAUGACGGCCUUCGGGUUGUAAACCGCUUUCGCCUGUAACGAAGCGUGAGUGACGGUAAUGGGUAAAGAAGCACCGGCUAACUACGUG
rnacentral:rRNA from 1 species